AGAAUAUCGAUAUUGUGGUGCUGAGUUGUUCAAGUUAUUAUAUUAUAUUGUUAAAGCUGAUUUUUUAUUAAGUUUCAUCUAGGCCUAUUUCUUCUUAUCCAUCAAGCUGCUGCACAGAAAAUGUUGGGCAUAAGUGAAGUCACGGAAGCCAAAGUUACAAGCGUUGUUGCUAAGUGGCUUCAACAAGCCAAAACCAGAUGUGAAAGAAGAGGGAAAAAACCUGCCACUGUGGACAGUGGGGAAGAAGUUCCACUCAAUGUGGAUGAAGAUCUUGUUGAAUAGAUAACUUACUCUGUAUUAUUUAAGUAAUCGUAAAAUGAGGAAUUUUUGAGGGAACUGUUUGUUGAAAGUUAAAGAUACGAGGCAUUUUCAAAUGUGAAUGUGUUAUGUAAAUCUUCAAUAUAAAUCU